CUUACCUAAAUAGGUGUGCGUUUCUUUAGCCUCUAAAUUAACGGUCAAUUACCAUGAGACCUGCAGGCUUUUUCAUGACAAUAGCCCGCUGACAACAUUUCAUAACCGCCACAGCUCUACGUCCGACGGCUGGUAGAUCAUUUUUUUACAGCUUUUUCUCUUCACACGGAAUCAGUUUUUUUUUUUUACCCAGUCAAGGACCAAUCAUGAACAUACACAUAGUCAGGCUCUUUCAGAAACCAAUCAUGAACACACACGUACAGUCAUGACAACAGGUUUCUAUAAAAGCGUUGUCUUGUUUGAGCCAAACAUCUUUUCUUUUCUAAAUCUGACAUUUGAGUGACACUGUCAACUUGCUUUGCUCAGGCUCAUCCUGUGACUUGACCAGUUUUCAGGACCAGGACUAUAACAAGGACCAGGACCAAGGUAGCGGAUGGAGAACACAUGGACCAUAUGGAGACCUAUGUGCCAUCGCUGCCCUCCUGUUUCUUGGUUGUCAGUAGUUAACAUAGCCACACAAAGUCAAAACUGGCUAAAAUGUAAACAUUUAUAAAGACAAAAAUGUGCUUUUUGGUCUUAAUUUAAAGUUAGGGUUAGGCAUAAGGUUAUCAGUGUGGUUAAGGUUAGGGUUAAAAUCACAUUUUAAGAAGAUAAACUGUAGAAAUAGGUGGGGUUUUGACUUUGUGGCUGUGGUAACUGGUGACGAGCGAUAGCACCAACCCCCAAGGGAGAUUAGCUGACGUCAUGGAGUCAACUAAUGGGUAUCUUAAUAAAAAGUUCACUCUGUUGUCUUUUUCGCUCUCUCCAUAUAUUUUUCUGUGGUUCUCUCUCUUGCGGAUUACCUUCAUUUUGAUGUGAGGUGAAGCGAUGAAGACUGAUAAAAGAGUCUACGUUUACUCCCCUUCAUGCAUCCAAGACUUAACAAGCGCCCACUUACUAACAUUACACAAUUCAGCUUUGCUUUGACAUCCGCUAUCAGAUCCAUGAAGGGGAGUGAACAGGGACAGGAGAGAACAUCUUCCUGGAAUGAAACAGGUUGAGUUUAAAGUGUGACCAUGUUAUUUUGUAAAUAUAUUGUAUAGAGUAUUGUAGUUCAGAAUAUCUCUACUCCUGUCAGGUCAGUCUAUUUUUGAUUGCUACUGGUGACCCUGUAACCCGGUACUAUCCUGUGUCAGUAAUUUGAGAUAUAUAUGGUUAAAUUAAAAAAGAUUUGUAAUAUUGAUAUUGUGCGUGACAGAAAAAUGUCCUUUAGAGUGGAACUUGAGGCAGCAGAUGUUUCUGACUCUGAGCAGGCGCCAAAGAUUUUGUACAAACUCAAACGUAGGAAAAGCAUGGAUGAGCCUAUAUUUUUUAGCUCAGAAACAGAGAUCUACAUAAGUAAAGAUGCAGAUUAUCAGACAUUGAGAGUUAAAAACAAUGGCAUAGACUCUUCUCAACGCAAACGUAGGAAUAGCUUAAAUAUUCCACCAGAUUUUUGAGCAGUGCUGUAACAUGCACACUGCAACAUAUACAUGCUUUAUGUAUACUUCCGAGAUACAUAGUCACACUUUAAACCAAGUAUACUGUAUCUAAUAAAGCCUUCAUGACACCUUCAUAAUGUCCUACAUAGAGGCUACACAAAUCAUUUGAAAUCAAAUGUCAUGCUGCAAGAAAAGGUGAUGUAACAGGUCCUUUGUUAUAGUCCCUCCCCAAAUGUAUAACCCCAAAAAGGUUGAGACAACAUGUUCUAAGUCGCCGAUGAUGCAAAUGUUACAUCAGGUCUUAGGCCUGAAAGAGACCGUUGUUUUAGUCUAUUUCUGACUCACCUAGGGUGUUUUUAAGUAUAUUAGCUUAAAGGGCAUCUCCAACACUUUUUAACCUCAUUCUCAUUAUGUCCAGCACAAUACCAGUGUCAACAUAUGUGAAAAUGGCACAUUUGUGUGUUUUGUAGAAAAAUGAUUUAAAAAGACAUCAAAAGUUGAAACAUUUAAAAAUCUGUGAUUUUCAAGGUAACCUGGGAAGCAAGAUAAUACUCUCCCUUGGGCUAGAAACUUGUUGAAGAUUUUGAAAAUCACUUUUAAUCCUAACCUCUGCAUUUUUAAGGACCUUGUCUUUUAAACCACAGAUCAUAGAAAUGCCCUGUUUUCACAUAUUUAGACACUGUUUUUUCUUGGAGUUGAUGAACAUAAGGUUGAGAAAUAGCAGAAUUGCUCUUUAACAUUGUUCAGAAAAUCCUGGAAUGCAUUGAAAAUGUAUCAUUCAAAAGCACAUUGCUUUUGAACCAGCUAACAAAUUGUUAAUUGUUUAGAUGAAUCAACAACACCCUAGAUAAGUAAGAACUGUCCCUUCAACAGAUUAUUUAUAUAUUUUUAAAUAUAUUUAUAUUUGUUUGAUGUAAUUUGCAUGUAUAUAUGGUUUACUUGAAUUCAAGUGACUGUCAGAUCACAAUUAACAUUGCAUGGAGCAUGAGUUAUACACGAAGGAGGUAGACAGAAGGACGGCAUACUAACCAUUUCCUCUUCAUUGCUCUGUAGAAAAUGUGCCCUACAUCAAAAACUGUUUGUCACCCUUGAUAGAGUAUAAGGUUAAACUACUGUCAUACUAACAUCGAUUAUUGCUCCUAUGUUUUAAAUGUAUAUAUCUUUUGUAUUUGUAAUGUUAAUAAAAAUCUGCUAUUUUA
ensembl:lncRNA